GUGUAUAUGACCUUCUCACGAAAGGGAACUUUCCUGUCAGCACUCUGAACUUCGGGAAGAAAUGAGAGAAAUGGUCUCACAAGAUGAAGAACUCUAAAUCCACCUCCCAUCUUAUUAAUACGUACCUAAACAAAUUCAACCGUAGAGAAUCGAUAACGCAGAGAAACAAAAGGAGGUAAAAAAAAUGUGUGCAGAGAUCAAACACUUAAAAAGGGUUGAUCCGAAGCCGGAGGGACGUU
rnacentral:misc_RNA from 1 species